UCGCCGCCCGAGACUUGGCGAGAAGUCCAUUGAACCUUAUCAUUUAGAGAAAGGAGAAGUCGUAACAAGGUUUCCGUAGGUGAACCUGCGGAAGGAUCAUUG
rnacentral:rRNA from 1 species